CAGUCGCCGCGGUAAAACCGAGGGUGCAAGCGUUAAUCGGAAUUACUGGGCGUAAAGCGCGCGUAGGUGGUUUGUUAAGUUGGAUGUGAAAUCCCCGGGCUCAACCUGGGAACUGCAUUCAAAACUGACUGACUAGAGUAUGGUAGAGGGUGGUGGAAUUUCCUGUGUAGCGGUGAAAUGCGUUGAGAUCGGAAAGAACACCAACGGUGAAAGCACUCUGCUGGGCCGACACUGACACUGAGAGACGAAAGCUAGGGGAGCAAAUGGGAUUAGAUACCCCUGUAGUCCCUGUCUCUUAUAC
rnacentral:rRNA from 1 species